rnacentral:misc_RNA from 1 species
UUAUCAAAACAAAGUUCCUUUCUCUUCUCCCUGAACCGAUGUAAAGAAGCUGCUCUCUGAGGUUGAAUUGACCUUCCAGGCAAGUCACUUGGAACCCUCAGGUUAAGAGGGACUGUCCCUGCAGUAGGGAUGCUAGAAGGGAUUUCACAUCCACCUAAAAGUAACAGCACUGCCUGCACCUUAUCUGGGGCAACAGCAUCAAACACGUAAACCUCCCCCUGGAAAGACAGAGUGAGCUGGUCAGCAUUGCCGCCAUUUGCAACCACCAAAGGAUAAUCUGGUCCACCAGUAUCACGAAUACCACUAGGGAGAACACCAUCUACACCACCAUCGGUUCCAUUGCCGUUUUCAUAAUGGAUGUUAGGGUUUUCUACGGACUCCUCCCCACCUCCAACCAUAUCUUCAUCUUCUUCUUCCAAAUGGGUCUGUAUGUUCAUCGUUUCUAAAUUUGGAAAGAGAAAGGGGGUUUCGA